rnacentral:lncRNA from 1 species
UAUAAUAUUAUUUUAUAUUUUUCCAUACAGUAAUAUAAGGAUCGAUCGCUUUUCUAAUUUUGUAUUGUUACAUAAAUGUUAUACUAUUUUAUUCUCUGAAUUUGGCUUUAACUCUAGCAGAUAUGUUUUCACCCUCGCGCGUAAAACGUUCUAUUAAAUAAGUUCGUCCGUCUGCAUAUCUGCAUAAUUCAGGUAAAGCACUAGAAAUUGUUGCUAGCCAAUACGGUAAAUUUCGAAGACUUCGAAUAGCUCCAGAUCCAAUACCAAGAGAUAGUAAUGCAACAUAUAACACUGUUAUCGCACCAGUUAAAGGAUUCUCAAGUAUCAUCAAUAAAGCUACGGUUACUUGUUCAGCAGCAAUAUAGUUCGACCAAAGAAUGGCAGAAGUAUGGGCCCAUGCUGAAUGAUCUAAUUCUAGGAUUGGUAUUAGGAUACCAAUUGUAAUUAUGGUAGAGAUAAAACUUAAAGGUAAACUUAAUAAUGUGUAUGCAGUCAAAAACAUGGCUCCACCAUAAAGGCCUUCCCUCUUUUCUUGAUAAUAUCUAGCACGAAAACCUGGAACUAAAUGAGAAACUUACAUAGAAACGAAAAUAUUCUAAACAUAUGUUUAGAUAUUCAUUGUAAAAACAUACAAAGUAACGAUGUUGUUGCUAUUCCAGUUACAUAAAACAGCGUUAAUAUGUUAAAAACCAAGCCUCCUGUUUGUAAAAAUAUUCUAGAUUGCACAGGAGUUGAAUGUGAAUAUAAUAUACUCAUCAGAGCUACACUGAAUGGUAGCAACAAAAAACGUGCAGCAAAGUGUCCUAAACCACAUUUGUUAAAAGAGAAUGUAACUGCCAUACUUCUUCUAAAAAUAUUAUCCAUGAAUUUUUA